UACAGAGGGUGCGAGCGUUAAUCGGAGUUACUGGGCGUAAAGGGCGCGUAGGCGGGUGGAUAAGUAAGAUGUGAAAUCCCUGGGCUUAACCUAGGAAUUGCAUUUUAGACUAUUUACCUGGAGUACAGUAGAGGGUGGUGGAAUUUCCGGUGUAGCGGUGAAAUGCGUAGAGAUCGGAAGGAACAUCAGUGGCGAAGGCGACCACCUGGACUGUAACUGACGCUGAGGCGCGAAAGCGUGGGUAGCAAACAGG
rnacentral:rRNA from 1 species